CAAUUCUUGUCCAACUUUAUAAUCAUAAGCAACCAUGAUACCCGACAAAACUGCAGUAAUUCCUUUCAAUUGCUGAGCCAGUCUUUUCGCUGGCGACGAAAAGCUUAGGGUAUCAACGCUGUCGGUAUAAUCACUCACAUCCAAUGCAGCAGUAAGUAAAUGAAGAAGCUUUCUUUCUUCAUAUUCAAGUCUCAAAGGAAUCACUUUGGCCCUUUGCAACAACACAGGAGAAGAAAAUUUCUUUUCAGGUGAUUCAUUACCCGUUUUAGAUUCAUUGGGGAGAAUGGAUGACAAAUACAAAUUCCUUAAGGCUUCAGCGUCCAUGUCUAUGUAAAGAAUACGUUCUCAUGAAUUAAUCAUACAGGUAUAAAUUAAAAGGAGGAAGUAUUAAAGUGAGGGAAUCUUUAAAAAAAAAUUUUAAUUUAACAUGUGUUUUUGCAAUGUUGAAAUAAAAGCAACUGCACAGCUGUAAUUUAUUGUUUUUUGAUCUAUAUCGAAGGUUGGGCGUUCACUACUUGUCACUUCAACAGGUACUAUUUUCUACCGCUAUUUUAGAUGCCACCAUUCUAAGUAUACGGAAAAGGAAAUUAUAUGAGCAUUUUUUAUUUUUGAAAUUUGAUAAGCAUUAAGGAAAGUAUGCAUGUAGUAAAGCAAUAUUUUAGAUAAACUAACAAGAUAAA